rnacentral:rRNA from 1 species
GAUGAACGCUGGCGGCGUGCCUAAUACAUGCAAGUCGAACGCUGGAAAUCUAGCUUGCUCGAUUGAAGGAGUGGCGAACGGGUGAGUAAUACAUAAGCAACCUACCCACGAAGACUGGGAUAAUCUCUGGAAACGGGGACUAAUACCGGAUAGGUAAUCGGAAGGCAUCUUCUGAUUAUUAAAGGUUAAAAACACUGGUGGAUGGGCUUAUGGCGCAUUAGUUAGUUGGUGAGGUAACGGCCCACCAAGACGAUGAUGCGUAGCCGGCCUGAGAGGGUGAACGGCCACAUUGGGACUGAGACACGGCCCAGACUCCUACGGGAGGCAGCAGUAGGGAAUUUUCGGCAAUGGGGGAAACCCUGACCGAGCAACGCCGCGUGAGUGAGGACGGCCUUCGGGUUGUAAAGCUCUGUUGUAAGGGAAGAACGGUAGAUAGAGAAUAUCUAAAUGACGGUACCUUACCAGAAAGCCACGGCUAACUACGUG